CCUACGGGAGGCAGCAGUGGGGAAUAUUGCGCAAUGGGCGAAAGCCUGACGCAGCGACGCCGCGUGAGGGAUGAAGGUCUUCGGAUCGUAAACCUCUGUCAGCAGGGAAGAACGGUCACUGUGCUAAUCAGCAGUGAAUUGACGGUACCUGCAAAGGAAGCACCGGCUAACUCCGUGCCAGCAGCCGCGGUAAUACGGAGGGUGCGAGCGUUAAUCGGAAUUACUGGGCGUAAAGCGCUCGUAGGCGGUAUGUCAAGUCACGGGUGAAAUCCCCGCGCUCAACGUGGGAACUGCUUUUGAAACUGGCAAACUGGAGUGUGUGAGAGGAUAGUGGAAUUCCAGGUGUAGGAGUGAAAUGCGUAGAUAUCUGGAGGAACAUCAGUGGCGAAGGCGACUAUCUGGCACAUAACUGACGCUGAGGAGCGAAAGCGUGGGUAGCAAACAGGAUUAGAUACCCCAGUAGUC
rnacentral:rRNA from 1 species